rnacentral:rRNA from 1 species
GAUGAACGCUGGCGGCGUGCCUAAUACAUGCAAGUCGAGCGAACGGACGAGAAGCUUGCUUUUCUGAUGUUAGCGGCGGACGGGUGAGUAACACGUGGAUAACCUACCUAUAAGACUGGGAUAACUUCGGGAAACCGGAGCUAAUACCGGAUAAUAUUUUGAACCGCAUGGUUCAAAAGUGAAAGACGGUCUUGCUGUCACUUAUAGAUGGAUCCGCGCUGCAUUAGCUAGUUGGUAAGGUAACGGCUUACCAAGGCAACGAUGCAUAGCCGACCUGAGAGGGUGAUCGGCCACACUGGAACUGAGACACGGUCCAGACUCCUACGGGAGGCAGCAGUAGGGAAUCUUCCGCAAUGGGCGAAAGCCUGACGGAGCAACGCCGCGUGAGUGAUGAAGGUAUUCGGAUCGUAAAACUCUGUUAUUAGGGAAGAACAUAUGUGUAAGUAACUGUGCACAUCUUGACGGUACCUAAUCAGAAAGCCACGGCUAACUACGUG